rnacentral:rRNA from 1 species
GACGAACGCUGGCGGCGUGCUUAACACAUGCAAGUCGAACGGAAAGGCCCUGCUUUUGUGGGGUGCUCGAGUGGCGAACGGGUGAGUAACACGUGAGUAACCUGCCCUUGACUUUGGGAUAACUUCAGGAAACUGGGGCUAAUACCGGAUAGGAGCUCCUGCUGCAUGGUGGGGGUUGGAAAGUUUCGGCGGUUGGGGAUGGACUCGCGGCUUAUCAGCUUGUUGGUGGGGUAGUUGCUUACCAAGGCUUUGACGGGUAGCCGGCCUGAGAGGGUGACCGGCCACAUUGGGACUGAGAUACGGCCCAGAAUCCUACGGGAGGCAGCAGUGGGGAAUAUUGCACAAUGGGCGGAAGCCUGAUGCAGCAACGCCGCGUGCGGGAUGACGGCCUUCGGGUUGUAAACCGCUUUCGCCUGUGACGAAGCGUGAGUGACGGUAAUGGGUAAAGAAGCACCGGCUAACUACGUG